rnacentral:sRNA from 1 species
UCUUUUGUUCUGAAGCAUUCUUCUAUUUGUGUUCCUAAGGAUCUCUAAAGACUCAAAUUGUCUUCUGGGAAGAACCUCCUAUGACCUUUGAGAAUAUUAUCUUUAAAGAGGAUCUUGCAUGAGACUGAAUAGUUCUGAUUCUCAAAUUGCAUGGUGGACAUGUGUUAAGAGGUGUAGACAGAAAGUAGUUGUCUUUCUCAUUAGAGUAACCCAAGCUAAAGGAAUGUUAUAUAUUUAAUUUACUCUGCCUUUCCCUCCCCUAAACAGCAUGCUAAACACUGAAAGCACAUGUCCUAUGUGUUCAGAAAGAUUAAACGCUGCUCAGCUGAAAAAGAUUUCAGACUGUACCCAGUACCUGCGAACGGAGGAGGAACUGUGAGUGGCACGUGCAGAUACAAUGCUCCUGAGAAGACAGCAUUUUCCACAGAAGGCUGUUUCCUCCCCUGGUGGAUUUAAGAGACGGUCCUUUCUGGAUACAGAGAAAUGAAACAACGGUGACCUCUCCAGGUCGGCACUUUCCGCUUCUGUACGGUGGCAAAACG